GGGAAGGAGCCUCAAGUGUGUGGCGGGGGCUCUAAGUCCUGGCUAAAGGGCCCCUCCGAACACCCUCCCCGCUAGAGACAGAGGGUCUGAGCUGGCACAAGGCGUCCAACGCAGACUCUGCCCUUGGACCUUCAUGGUCCCUGCCUGGCGUUUGGAAUGACACCAACCAAUACACCCAUCCAACGGGCGAGAACCCCCUUCUGGCCGCUCUGUAGCUAGACCAGCUUAGCUCCCCCCAGCCCAGCGCUGGGUGUGGGCUGCCACAGGAGCCCCAGGUCUCUGGUCUGACGGCUACCAAAUGUUAUCUUGACUAGAGCCGCUGGGAGUUCCAGGCAGGCUCUCGGCGACUUACCCUACACUUCCCAAGACCAUGUGAGUCACCUUACGGGAGCUUCUCUUGGAAUGACCGUUCUUUAAAGCUGGGGAGUUGGUUAAGUGAAAGAAGCAAUUUCUCUUCCCUCUAAAAUCUUGGAGAUUUAUCGAAAUGAGUGAAUUCCACGUGUUUAUGUCCUGACUGUAGCUGGUUCUUCGGUGUAUCUGUCUCGCUAUUGCCUCCUUCCCCGGGGCCCCACCAUCACUUACUCCCUCUUCUGCAAGGCGUUUGCCUCGUGGACUAAGACAUUUUAGAGCUUCUUAUAACAAUGGAUCAAAUUCAUAUCCCCCGUCAUCAAGUGCAUCCUAUGAGGUGAAUUUAGUCCAUCUCACAUCAAGAAAAGGGAUAAAUUUAAUAGGAAGUCCUUCGCUCCCAGCCUUGCACGAUGUCCUCUUCCUGAGAAGAGAACCGUAGCAAGAUCUUGGAAGAACCUGAAUAACGAUGGCAAAUGAUGGGGUAACUUGAGCUGCAUCUCUCCAUCACCACAAGAGAGAGGAGAUGGGAUGCUGAGGAUCAACCGUCCCUCCCCACUCAUACUGCAAGUCUGCUGUCCUUAGUCACAGGAGCUGGAGGUGAUCAGCUAGUCCAUGGCUGCUGUGGAGAUGGUUCUGGCCUCAAGUGGAUCCUCCAAUAUCUGUGAGUUCUAGAAGGACUAACUCCCUCCCUCCCUGAUCACUGGAUGCAGGGCAUACAGAACAAUCUAGUGACUACCCCGCAAGGCCCUACUGCCUCCUUGGGUCAAACACAGCACCAGGAGUCGGAGAUGGGGGGGCAGACUCAUCUGCUGCAGGUAAGGAAAAGAGAGUCUGAGAUGAGUUGAUGGGAGAGAUUCCAGAUCAAAUGAAUCAGCAGACAGGGUUCCAGAGGGACCAACUGGAAUAUCAAACAGAUAAGGAUUCAAGAAGGGUGGGAAGACAAACAGAGGCUGCACAGCACGAGGCGAGAUUGGUGACAGAUUCAUGGAGCAUAACCACAGGUUAAGGGAGGAAUACCGAGUGCAGCAGAAGGAGCUGUUUGAGUGAUGACUUGCAGUCAUGGCUACCAGACUGCAGAACCCACUGCCACCUUCAGCUCCUGCUCCAGCCUCAUGCCCUGAUUCCCCUCUGUGCUGUUCAUGCCCUCCAGACUAUGCAGCCUUUGGACAGUUCAGGGCUGGAUCAUAUCACAGGCAAUGAACAGUGGCACAUGGAACAGACAAAUGUACUCUGUGCAUUCAUCCACUUCAGUCCAGUCUCAGCCUGCACAUGUAAAAUGCACCAGAAAGGUCAAGGAGAACAGAGGGACAGGGGACCCCCAGUUGUCCAUGUCAUUUCAGACCAUGCACCUUCCCCUGUGUUGGCACUGAGUUUGGUUAUUGUGUUGCAAGUUUUGCUGGGAGCAGCUCUACCUGUCUGGAUCUUACAUUUAUAUGUAAAUGCAGGUGUAAAAUAAAGUGUUG